CGUUCAAAAUAAAAUGAUGGGGUACAGCGGCAGCGUCAUUAGUUAUCACUGACGAGGCAGCAGUAACGCUUUUAACUUGUCUCCAUUUUCCUCUGCGGCACGUUGUACUUGGAGGAUUGGGGACAUCCGGGAGAGUGAAGAAAAAGUCCCUCAACAUCGAGUUCGGAAAUCGCCAAUUUCCGAUUGGGGCUUAUCAAUCCGCGACACUGUUGAUACGGCCAGUGUGAUCGGGGAAUUUGAAAAAACACAAAGCUUCCCACGCUUUGGUUGGAUGUUAUUCUCCGGCAAAAAUGAUCGUGUUAUAACCUGCAGAAAGCUGAUCUGGAACCACACACUUUGAUAAGAAGCAUGUAUGUGUUAGCGGAAGUUUGAGUGGAGAGAGGAAAGACUCUGCCGUGUUAGAGGCAUCAUUCAACUCCAGGAGUUACUGCCUUUACCGUUAGGCCGCAGUGUCCUAAGGUACCUGGGGAGGCUGGCUGGAACGCUUCCUGUCAUUCUGUCUUACUUAUCAUUGGGAUGUUCCUUGCUCGGAGCUCUUGUUUAUCUGGGGCAAAGCCUCAAGGGGUUAUAAGCAAAGAACCCUUGGACACUUGAGUCAAAUCAGAGUACUGUCAGCAGGGAAAGGAGGGCAGCGAUGGGCAGCAUUUUCCGUCAGACUCAUUACCUACGGUCAUCAUUGUAAAAUGGAGAAAAUACUCCUUCCCACUUAAAGGUGACUAUGAGUAUUUGGAGUCGUUUUUUAAAAUGUUUAUCAUGGUUUAACAUACAUAGAAAAGUGCACAGGUCCUAACUGUUUGCUCUCUUGCGCAUCGCAGAGGGAACCUGACCAAGUAAGACACUGCUGCCCGCAAUCCCUGGCACCUCGUGUCAGUUAGAGCCUCCUGGUCCCCCCUCCCCCGCCCCCCCGGGAGCCACUCUCCCGACUGUUAGGGUCAUAGAUCAGUUUUGUUGGCGUUUUGGUAUUAUUAUUUAUUAUUAACAAUUCACAUGUCCCCCCAGCUUUACUGAGGUAUAGUGAGAAACAAAAUGGAAUAUAGCUAUAAAUAUUUUGAUACCUAGACCUGUCGUGCCUUUGAAGGUCAUUAGUGAAGUUUCAGUUAACUUCAGUGGAAAAGAUUGCUUUCCUGAGUCCCUGAAUUAAAUACACUUAUGCAGGAGUUCCCGUCACCAGUGCUGCAGAAACCACCUAGAAACCAUGAGGUUGAGGGUUUGAUCCCUGGCCUCGCUCAAGUGGGUUAAGGAUCCGGCGUUGCCAUGAGCUGUGGUGUAGGUCGCAGAGGCGGCUCCCAUCUGGUGGUGGUGUAGCUGUGUUGUGGGCUGGUGGCUACAGCUCGGAUUGGACCCCUAGCCUGGGAACCUCUGUAUGCUGUGGGUGCGGCCCUAAAAAACAAACAAACAAAAAUAUACUUAUGCAGAAAUCUUAAGAAACCCCAUUAAAUGAGAUAUAUUCACGUUCUUGUGGAAAUUAGUUAAUCGCAAGUUGACAACUGGCCGGCUGGCUUUUAUUGACCCCUCUGUAACGGGCUUUAUCGUCUGGUUUUCUGCCUGCAUUGUGUUUUUGUGACUCUUGGGUUUCUAAAUCACUCACACACAAUCCUUCCUAAAUUAUUCAGUGUUUAUAAAGUUGAAUCAUUCAAGAGGAAACAGGGGGCGGGGGCAACAGUACAAUCUCAAGAAAUCAUUGGACAGCAUGCAAAGGAGCAGAAGUUAGGUCAGACCAGCCUCAACCAGCAAACCGCAGCCCGAGGAGAACCAGCCCAGGUCGGGAGCCGCCCCCACCGAGCGCAUCCUGCCUGCAGGGGGUGCUACAAGUCCUCGCUGGUCUUGGUGGCUCUGAGGAGCCAAGAUCUGGGCUGAAGGAGAGAGAGCAGCUGGAACCUCAUCCUCCUGAAUCCUGACACCCCGCUGGGCCUCUUUCAAGGCAUGGGUGUAAUUCCUUUCUGUUUCUUUACUCGGUCUGUGAGCCUUUUGUAAUAUUACUAAACAUGCAUACCCUACCACCAUUUUUGAAAACUGCUGGAUGUAUUUCAUGGUGCGAAUUGGCCGUAUAACUUACUCUCCCUUAUUCUGCGCACGUCAGUUGUUUUCUGUUCUUUUGCUGUUCUUUGUAGUGUUACCGGGAGCAUCUUUGUGCAUAAUCUAUGCCGGCACCUGAUUCCUUAGAAUAAAGAACUGCACAGUGAAGGAAUUAUUUCCUUUAAAACAGAUCUGUCGGAGUUCUCCUGUGGUGUAUAGGAUCCAGUGUUGUUCCUGCAGCGGCUUAGGUAGCUGCUGUGGGGCAGGUUUGAUCCCUGGCCCAGGAACGCCCAUAUGACGUGGGUGAGGCCAAAAAAUUCAUUACGAAGAUAAUUCAUGUUUAUUGUAGAAAACUUGGAAAAUGUAGUAAAAGUGUAGAGAAGAAAGAAUCACCCAACCAUCCAAAUAAAAUUCCUGCUCACCCAUCAGGGUCUUUCUCUGUAUCUUUUCUCCUGGGCCUGUGUCUGUCGGUCUGCCCACCCAUCCACCCUGUCAUGCACUGGCUUUCUUUUUUUGGUCUUUUUGCCUUUUCUUGAUCUGCUCCCAUGGCACAUGGAAGUUCCCAGGCUAGGGGUUGAAUCAGAGCUUUAGCCACCGGCCUACACCACAGCCACAGCAACUCGGGAUCUGAGCCGUGUCUGCGAUCCACACCACAGCUCAAGGCAACACUGGAUCCCCAACCCACUGGGCAAGGCCAGGGAUCGAACCCUCAACCUCAUGGUUCCUAGUCGGAUUCGUUAACCACUGCGCCACGACGGGAACUGCCAGUAGUUCUUUUUUUUUAAGACACGAGCUCAUUUGGUGACCAGCUGCCAUGUGUCAGUUUCUGUGCCGGGCGCUGUAGACGGCCUCACACAGUUUCCUGUUUUCUGUGAGCUUAAUUGAAGGAACCCUGCGCAGGAGGAAAUGGCAUUUCUGAGGCCAGAAGGAGGAGCAGCUUCUGGCCCGGAGAGGGAAGUGUCCCCGCAGGGCUUAUGGGGGGAACGAUCAAAAACUCUGUCCCCCCGCCCCCCAAGACGGGUCAGCAGAGAGCUGCUGAGAAGAGGGACCCCGGCUGCGCACUGGCGGCCGCAGGGCCCAGGGAGGGGAUGCGCGUGGACAGGUGUGGCUGGGCCAACUGGGGCCAGAGCCGCGAAGCAGGCAGUGAGUGUAUUUUCAUGUAUUUUUUUCUCACAUGAUCUUUACAAUCUUUGAGAGAGGCACUGUUAUUUCCUUUUGCAAAUGAGGAAGUUGAGGCUUAUGUCAGUUACCUAAGACACAGGGCUGCUAAGUUAAAAAGCCUGAGUUCAUACAGGAGAAGAGCCACUGUCCUUAUGGCUUAGGCGCCCUCACCUUCGGUGUCUGCCUCUCCUCGUCCCCUCUGUCUCCCUGUCCUUAUCUGGGCACCUCCCCCAAACCCUGUCUCCGCCCCACAGACACGUGUCUUUCCAGAGGGUGCUUCCUCUUGUUUCGAAAUGUCUCAUGUUACGGGAAAAUGACUCAGGGUGUCACCUAAUUGUGCUGAUACGUGAGCUUUGUUGGGAUGGCAGGGCCACCGGAGCCUUUGUAGAGGAUGUGGAAGGUUGGGUGCCUGAGGCAGAGGCCAGCAGAGGCCACUGGACAGGAUCACUGGCAGCCCAGGCAUUUUCAGAAACCCCUUCAAGUACUUAAAAAACAAAACCAAGCAAACUUCGCCCCCAGCUUUAUGGCCUCACCCCUGGCACAUGGAGGUUCCCACGCUUGGGGUCAAAUUAGAGUUGUCGCCGUCAGCAUACGCCACGGCCACAGCCACGUCAGACCUGAGCCGUGUCUUCGACCUACACCACAGCUCACAGCAAUGCCGGAUUCUUGACCCACUGAGCGAGGCCAGGGAUCAAGCCUGCGUCCUCACGUGGAUGCUGGUCAGAUUUGUUUCCACUGAGCCACCACGGGAACAUCUCCAAUUAACAUUUCACAAUGCAAAGUUAAAAAGAUUUGGUCCCUGCAGCUAACAUCAUACUCAAAAGUGAAAAACCUGAAGCUUUUCCUCCAAGCUCAGGAAUGAGAUGAGGGUGCCCACGCUUGCCACUUUUAUUCAGCAUGGUAUCGGAAGUCCUAGCCAGAGCCGUUAGGCGGGGAAAAGAAAAGGCAUGUAAACGGGAAAGGAAGAAAUAAAACGGUCACUGUUUGCAGUUGGCAGAACAUUACACAUAGAAAACCCUAAAGACAAAAACCUGUUAGAACUGGAGUUCCCGCUGUGGUGCAGCAGAUUAAGGAUCUGGAGUUGUCUCUGUUCUGGUGUGGGUUCAGUCCCUGGCCCAGCACAGUGCGUUAAGUAUCUGGCAUUGCCCCAGCUGUGGCAUAGGUCACAGUUGUGGCUCAGAUUUGAUCUGUGGCCUGGGAACCUCCGUAUGCUAUGGGUGCAAAAACUGUUAGAACUAAUAAAUUCUGCAAUGUUGUAGGAUAUAAAAUCAGUAUACAGGAGUUGGCUCAGUGGUGAUGAACCCGACUAGUAUCCAUGAGGAUGCAGGUUCCAUCCCUGGCCUCACUCUGUGGGUUAAGGAUCCGUGAGCUAUGGUGUAGGCUGGCAGCUGCAGCUCCCCUUUGACCCCUAGCCUGGGAAUUUCCAUAUGCUGUAGGUGUGGCC
ensembl:lncRNA